AUAAAAUGGCUCCAUGUGUAUUUUUAGCAAAUAACAGAGUAUUAGGUUUUCUUCAAUUCAGAUUUUGAGUGAUAUCUUCUUCCUGAUUCUCUUCACGCGCAAAUCUAGCUAGAGUUUGUACGUCAACUGAAAGGCUGUUUUUCUGACGUUUGAGCUUGAUCGACAAGCUGUCACCACUUCAAAUUGAAGCUCUUGGUUUUGCUCUCCGAGAAUCACUAAAAACUUGACACUCAUGAAAACGAAGGUCUCUCCAUUCUGAAUUCCUUAUCUAUUGCAAUUUACGCCAUAUCUCAAGGUGGUAUUUUUGGUCAAAGAUUGACACGAAUAAUGCAUCACUUUUUGCCAAUAUGUAAAUAGUACUCCUAUAUAUAUAUAUAUAUA